UGCCAGACUCCUACGGGAGGCAGCAGUGGGGAAUAUUGCACAAUGGGGGGAACCCUGAUGCAGCGACGCCGCGUGGGUGAAGGAGCACCUCGGUGCGUAAAGCCCUAUCGGCAGGGAAGAAACAGACGGUACCUGACUAAGAAGCCCCGGCUAACUACGUGCCAGCAGCCGCGGUAAUACGUAGGGGGCAAGCGUUAUCCGGAUUUACUGGGUGUAAAGGGAGCGUAGACGGUUCUGCAAGCCAGAUGUGAAAGCCCGGGGCUCAACCCCGGGACUGCAUUUGGAACUGUAAGGCUAGAGUGUCGGAGAGGCAGGCGGAAUUCCUAGUGUAGCGGUGAAAUGCGUAGAUAUUAGGAGGAACACCAGUGGCGAAGGCGGCCUGCUGGACGAUGACUGACGUUGAGGCUCGAAAGCGUGGGGAGCAAACAGGAUUAGAUACCCCAGUAA
rnacentral:rRNA from 1 species